rnacentral:lncRNA from 1 species
UUGGUUGCAUAUGCUUUGUCUGUUACAGAAGAAACAAGUGAAGUUGGUGAGCCUACUUCCUAUUCAGAUGCAGUUUCUUGUGAUAAUUCCGCUAAGUGGUUGAUUGCUGAGGGAAAAGUCCUUGUUCAGAAAAUUUAUACGAAGGACAAUCCAGUUGAUAUGCUUACGAAGCAUGUUCCGGUUUACAUGUUCAAGCAGUGCUUGGACUUGGUUAGUAUUCAUUGUUGGUGAUUGCCCGUUGGGGCUUUUGUGAAGAAGGUGGAGCAAGUUUUGUUGGGACAUGCCAAGGUGGAGAUUUGUUAGUUUGGCAAGUCCCAUAGUCCCACAUCGGGAAAAUCAGACUUGUUGUCUCGUCUUGGAACUAUAAAUAAGGGCUUGAGCUUUGAU